rnacentral:rRNA from 1 species
GUUUACCAAAAACAUGGCUUCUUGUCUUAAAUAAAUAGGGAGUCGGACCUGCCCAGUGAAUUUUAUUUUUAACGGCCGCGGUACUCUGACCGUGCAAAGGUAGCAUAAUCAUUUGCCUUAUAAUUGAAGGCUAGUAUGAAUGGUUUGACAAGAAUAUAGCUGUCUCUUUAUAAUUAUAUAGAACUUUAUCUUAAAGUGAAGAAGCUUUAAUAAAAUUAAAAGACAAGAAGACCCUAUCGAGCUUGAAAAAAGUUUCUAGAGAUUAAUUAAUAGAGAAUUUAAAAAAUCAUCUAUAAAAUAUUUUGGUUGGGGCGACUAAGGAACAAACAAAGCUUCCUUAAACAACAAUAACAUUCAAGUACUGAUCCAAAACUUUUGAUUAAAGAAAUUAGUUACCGUAGGGAUAACAGCAUUAUCUUUUUUAAGAGUUCUUAUCGAAAAAAAGGUUUGUGACCUCGAUGUUGGACCAGAAUAUCCUAAAGAUGCAGACGUCUUUAAGGGUUGGUCUGUUCGACCAUUAAAAUUCUACGUGAUCUGAGUUCAGACCGG